GAGGGAGAAAGCUAAGCAGCUUUAUUUAAGUCUCCCCCACUCUCUUCUUGUUGAGCUUAAUUUUUCCGAUCAUUUUCUGGAGUCUCCAUUCUUCCGAAGAAAUUAAUCACAGGAAGCUUGCUUCAGCUCUUGGAAACUAUUGCAGAAAAAAUUUACUAAAAGGAAAGCUGUCUUUUAAUGUUAAAGGUAUCUGUCGGUCCUGAAAUGAUUCAUGGAGUUAUUAUUUACAAAACUGAAACUUUAACCUAUGAGUUUUUGGAUUUGUGGGAUCAUUGAUGACCUGGAAGUAAUUAUUUACAAUGGAGAAAGUUUGCGAAUUCUGCAUGGCCUUGAGGCCAGUCGUUUACUGUAACGCUGAUGCAGCAUAUCUUUGCCUUUCCUGCGAUGCAAAGGUCCAUUCAGCUAAUGCACUUUUUAACCGGCAUCUCCGUACCCUCCUAUGUGACUCAUGCAGGAACCAUCCAGCUUACGCUCAGUGUUUGGACCACCGGAUGCUGAUGUGUCUUGGCUGUGACCGGUGCCUGCAUGAGGUCUCCUCCCACCAUCAGAAACGGCUAGUCAGUAGCUACUUAGGAUGCCCUUCUGCUAAAGAUUUUGCAUCACUUUGGGGUUUUGAAUUUGGGGAUUUGGAUAAAAGUAUUGUUAAAGAUCAACUAGUUUCCACCCCAUGCUCUUCUUCUGUGCAACCUAGUGCAUCAAAAUUUGACAUUCCAGGGAAGUCUUGCCAACAAAUUGGACGCUCUUCAAGAAAAUCUAGAAUGAUUCACUCAACUUUGGUUUCUGGUGCAGAGUCUGAUGUUGGAUCAGGCAAUCAACAACCUGAGUUAUCGUACAAAGUUCCACAGCAGGAAAGUACCUGCUUUAUUCUGGAACAGAUUCUUGAUUUGAAAAGGCUUCAGCUCACUGAUGUCAACAACAGUACUCCUAUGAAACGUGGUCAAGAACAAAAAUACGUUUCUUCAAUGCUGAAUACCUCAAAGAAGCUUGACUACAAUCUCAAUCAUUCACAACAUUCUCAAGAUCUUGUUACCAAUCUUCAACAAGCUGACUGCCAACUUCAGGGUCUAAAAGUGGAUUCUUUGCCUUUGCCAUUUUCUCAGCCAGAACAUUUACCUUUCUUUUCAACUGCCGCAAAUGCUUUGCCUGGAGAAUCCUUUUGGCCAUGCAAAAGUCCAAUAGAGAAUAGUCAGUUGUGGUCUCAAAAUAUGCAAGACCUUGGGGUUUGUGAAGACAUUAUUUGCCAUGAUGAUAAUUAUAUCAUACCUGAUGUGGAUAAAACAUUUUGCAACUUUGAAGAAUUCUUUGGGGGUGAUCAAGAUCCAACUGGAGCAUUUCUUGAUGAGAAUGAUUUCUCAUGCUCCUUCAUUGAGAAGGAUAUGCCUCCUGAGAAAUCCAAUAACAGUGGUGGAAGAGCAAGGAAGGAUGCUUCUGUUACUUCAUCUGUUUACAUAAGCUGCUCUGUUCACAUUGACAAUGACAAGGAUCCUUCCAACCAAUCUUAUAACUUUCCUGGAAGUCUUGAUCCUGCUCAGACAAUCAGGUCUCCUUAUUCAAGAUACUCCAUUUCAAGUCAUGGUGCUGAAAGCAGGAGUAAUGAAUAUCUUGACAGUGAACUUUCACUAUAUAUAUCUAAUGGUGAAGCAUCAUGCUAUUCACCCGACCUUGAGGAUGCACAUACAGAGGCCCGAGAAAAUGCAAUGAUGAGGUACAAAGAGAAGAAAAAGGCUCGGAUGUAAGUAUAUAUACCCCUACCAGGAUUUUAAAACAAGUAUCAUGGAUUUUAUUUCUGAGGAUCUGAGUCAAACUUUUGCUGCUUGGUUCAUCAGCAACAUUAUCUUCUCCAAUUAGUCAUAUAUUUUAUUUGGUCUAUCUAUGACUCCAUGUAACUUUUGAUACAUGACUACCUUCUUUUAACCAUUGAACAAAAAAAUGUUAUCAAAUUAGUAUCAAGGCCUGAAGGUCAUGAAUCAGAACAGUCCAAAACUAAAUCUUAUCGUCUAUAGUUACAAUACCAAUAUCAAGUUGGGAAGGGCAUAGAGCGAAGACUAGUUGAUAACGCUAGGAUAUCCAUCAAUUGCAUGCUAGCGCUGAAGAAAUGCUGCAAAUGUCCAAAAUUUGCCCUCCCUGUAUCUUAUUAUUAAUAUAAAAAAAGUGCAUCUAUUUUUAUGCAGUUUCUCUUUUAUCUUGGGUGACCAAAAAAAAGUAGCAAACCCGAAAAUAAAUUUAGAUCACUCUGUUUUGGCUUUGAGUAUCUUUAUGUAAAUAAACCACAGCACUGUAAAUGUUUUUUAUAGCUAAUUGUUAGGAUGCAAAAGUUGUAAAUCACAUGGAAUGUGUACGAGACGGGCAAUAGUACCACUGGGUUAAUUAAUUAUGGAAUAUUGGGAGUUAAGAGUGGAUAAUGGCCUCGUCGUAAUUUGCCAUAAUUUAUAUGGCUCUCAAGUGCACAAGGAGAUGAUGUCUGCAUACUAGACUUGCUAGUAAUGGAUAAUGAUGCUACAUCAUUUAUCAUAUGGCUUAACUCAUGCUCUGCUCAAAGAUUUCCCGUGGAUGAGUAUUUUGUGAUGGCAUGCUGGAGUUCCAACAAUAAGGCAAGACAAGCAAAUUAGAUAUACUCCUAGGAAACCUAAGAAUGAUGUACGGAAGCGUGGAAAUGGCUGAUUCGUGAAGCUAGAAGGUUGUGGCUGCUAAAGUUGAUGUAAAGAUUUUAGGUAAGUUAGAGAUUCUUUUAUUUGAAGAAAUAAACUAAAAUUGGAUCUAUAAAAAGUUGUAUUUAUGAGUUUAUUUAUGUAUGGGGAUCGCUCAUAACAUCUGUCACUAAUAGUGGCUUGAUAGUUGUUUCCAUGAAUAAAUGAUAUUAGUCCAAAUAUAUGCGCAGAGAGACAUGUAUGGAAUUAUGGAUA